rnacentral:misc_RNA from 1 species
UUUUUUUUUUUUUUUAAGUAAACAAGUAUAAAUUUAUAAUUUAAAUUUGGAAGGGCUUAGUAAGAAGUUUAGGUAAUCUUGUCUAUUCAUAAACAUUGACAAUCUCUUAAGGUGUUCUCAAACAAGAUUAACCAUGACUCUAAAGAAACAUUGAAAUGACACUGACAAUCCUGCACUUCUGCAUUUUAUGUUCUUGGUUACAAAAUUGCUCUCACGCUUUCAAACCCUUUGCUUCACUGUACAGUUGAUCAAUGCAGUCCUUGUAGUAUUUGAGCAACUGAGGCCUUUUCAGCUUAAAUGUUGGAGUUAUCAGAUCCCUCUCCAUAUCAAAAGGAUGUGGUUCCAAAUGAACUGCUUUUAACAUUUCAAAUCCUCUAAGUUUGUGUGUCUGACCAGUGCUAUUCAGCUCAUCUAAAAUAUAUUUCCUAGCCUUCAGAUUUUUGCACAAAGAUUUGAAAUCAUCAGUCACAUUAUGGCUUGCCGCCCAAUCCUCAAGUGCCUGUCUCUCAGGGAUCACUACAGCAACAAGAAAUGACUCGAAACUGUUGCCGUAGAUCCAAAUCGAUGAUACAAGAGGGCAUCGUGUAUAUGUGUUCUCAAGGUUCUCCACAGCAACAUAUUCACCUUGAGAUAGCUUGAAUAUGUUCUUUUUCCUGUCAAUUAUCUUCAUUGCUCCAUUGGGUUGCAAUUCUCCAAUAUCACCUGUAUGAAACCACCCAUCAAUAAGGACUUCUUUUGUUAGAUCUUCUCUCUUGUGGUAACCAGAGAACAAUGAAUUCCCCCUGAGGCAAAUCUCUCCCCGUGGAACACUGGAUAGUGCAUCGUAUCCCAUCUCUGGCACAGACUCAAGCCUUACUUCAAUGGUUGUCACGGGGACUCCAACAGUUCCAAUCAUAGGAAACACAUCACCUAUGGAUGUUAAACAACCUCCACAACUUUCUGUGAGACCAUAUCCUUGUGAUAAAGUAGAGCAGUUUGUGACUCUUAAGAACUCCUCCACAUGCCUAGGCAAAGGUGCAGCUCCAGAUAACAUGAUACGAACACGACCUCCCAAUGUUUGUUUCGUCUUAUCAAAGACAAGCCUGUCCAAGAGGGGUGCUGCUUGGGCUUGUGGCAAUCCCUUCUCAAGAUUUCCUAGCUUGUAGUUAUAAGCAAAAUCAAACAAUUUCUUCCUGAAAGCACCUCCAGAUGAAAUUUUACUCAUUGUACCAGUAUAUAUACGAUCGUAGACUCUAGGAACACCACAAAAUAUACUUGGCUUCAAUUCCUGAGCAUCCUCAAUCAAGUACCUUAUAUCCCCUCGCCAAAAUCCUAUAGAGGCACCUUUGUAUAUGCAGUAGGUCUCAAUUAUUUGAUCAUAUACAUGAGCCAAAGGAAGGAAAGAGAAGUAUGAAUCUUCUUCUGUAGCCACUCUGUCUGUAAGAAAAAGUAAAUGGUCGACAGACAAUACUUCAGCCAUGAUAGCUCCAUUAGUAAGGAUAACACCUUUUGGUUCUCCUGUUGUUCCACUAGUAUACAUUAUUGUGCAGAUGUCAGUCUUCUGCUUAGGAGGUAAUUCACAAACCAAACUUCCCAGAUGAGAAAAUUCCUCCCAUGAAAAGCAAGACACUCCCAGUUCCUCAGCUUCCUUCUUCUGCUUGCUAGAAAUAUUUCCAAAGCUAACAAUGGUUUUCAGAUAUGAUUUGCAAUUUGGGAGACAAGAUAAGAUCUGCAAAAGAGACAUAUUAAUGGUGUGAAAUGAAGAGAAUCUAAGAGAAAGCCUAUACAAAGAAUUAGGAGCACUCUGCAAAUGCCAAGUUAAUUUCUGGCAACUUACAGAAGAGAGCUUGGUCUCCUGGACAAAAGCUAAUGAAAUUUCGGCAUGAUUAAUGAUGAACUCCACUGCAUUAGGGCCUGUGAAUACAUGUUAAAAGCCAAGUAAUGGGUGCUCUAUGAAGAAUUGUGAUUAAAAUCACAAGCAAACUGAGAUUCAUUGGAAAAAAAAAUGCAUACCAAGGGUGUCAUACAGUGGUACAUAUACAAUAGCUUGACUGUUACAAGCCUGAAAAGGCCAAAUUAAUGCAUCAGAAUUGGCCAACAUGAAUCU